UCAUUGUAAGAGUUUGAUUAAAUAUUUGGUUUAAAAUUUUGUUUUCAAUUUUAUUUAUUUUUUGUUUAUAUGUAUUUUUCAUUUCUUCAUUGUUUUUUUAUAUUUUUAAAUGUAAUACAUAUGUAUAAUAAUAUUGAUGGGAUUCAAAAAUAUUGAUUUCCGACCAUUGCACAAUAAGAAAAUCAAGCUAAAGAAACAAUCUUUAUUCUUUUACUUUGGAUGUUUG
rnacentral:lncRNA from 1 species